GGUUAAGCGACUAAGCGUACACGGUGGAUGCCCUGGCAGUCAGAGGCGAUGAAGGACGUGCUAAUCUGCGAUAAGCGUCGGUAAGGUGAUAUGAACCGUUAUAACCGGCGAUUUCCGAAUGGGGAAACCCAGUGUGUUUCGACACACUAUCAUUAACUGAAUCCAUAGGUUAAUGAGGCGAACCGGGGGAACUGAAACAUCUAAGUACCCCGAGGAAAAGAAAUCAACCGAGAUUCCCCCAGUAGCGGCGAGCGAACGGGGAGCAGCCCAGAGCCUGAAUCAGUGUGUGUGUUAGUGGAAGCGUCUGGAAAGGCGCGCGAUACAGGGUGACAGCCCCGUACACAAAAAUGCACAUAUUGUGAGCUCGAUGAGUAGGGCGGGACACGUGGUAUCCUGUCUGAAUAUGGGGGGACCAUCCUCCAAGGCUAAAUACUCCUGACUGACCGAUAGUGAACCAGUACCGUGAGGGAAAGGCGAAAAGAACCCCGGCGAGGGGAGUGAAAAAGAACCUGAAACCGUGUACGUACAAGCAGUGGGAGCACGCUUAGGCGUGUGACUGCGUACCUUUUGUAUAAUGGGUCAGCGACUUAUAUUCUGUAGCAAGGUUAACCGAAUAGGGGAGCCGAAGGGAAACCGAGUCUUAACUGGGCGUUAAGUUGCAGGGUAUAGACCCGAAACCCGGUGAUCUAGCCAUGGGCAGGUUGAAGGUUGGGUAACACUAACUGGAGGACCGAACCGACUAAUGUUGAAAAAUUAGCGGAUGACUUGUGGCUGGGGGUGAAAGGCCAAUCAAACCGGGAGAUAGCUGGUUCUCCCCGAAAGCUAUUUAGGUAGCGCCUCGUGAAUUCAUCUCCGGGGGUAGAGCACUGUUUCGGCAAGGGGGUCAUCCCGACUUACCAACCCGAUGCAAACUGCGAAUACCGGAGAAUGUUAUCACGGGAGACACACGGCGGGUGCUAACGUCCGUCGUGAAGAGGGAAACAACCCAGACCGCCAGCUAAGGUCCCAAAGUCAUGGUUAAGUGGGAAACGAUGUGGGAAGGCCCAGACAGCCAGGAUGUUGGCUUAGAAGCAGCCAUCAUUUAAAGAAAGCGUAAUAGCUCACUGGUCGAGUCGGCCUGCGCGGAAGAUGUAACGGGGCUAAACCAUGCACCGAAGCUGCGGCAGCGACGCUUAUGCGUUGUUGGGUAGGGGAGCGUUCUGUAAGCCUGUGAAGGUGUGCUGUGAGGCAUGCUGGAGGUAUCAGAAGUGCGAAUGCUGACAUAAGUAACGAUAAAGCGGGUGAAAAGCCCGCUCGCCGGAAGACCAAGGGUUCCUGUCCAACGUUAAUCGGGGCAGGGUGAGUCGACCCCUAAGGCGAGGCCGAAAGGCGUAGUCGAUGGGAAACAGGUUAAUAUUCCUGUACUUGGUGUUACUGCGAAGGGGGGACGGAGAAGGCUAUGUUGGCCGGGCGACGGUUGUCCCGGUUUAAGCGUGUAGGCUGGUUUUCCAGGCAAAUCCGGAAAAUCAAGGCUGAGGCGUGAUGACGAGGCACUACGGUGCUGAAGCAACAAAUGCCCUGCUUCCAGGAAAAGCCUCUAAGCAUCAGGUAACAUCAAAUCGUACCCCAAACCGACACAGGUGGUCAGGUAGAGAAUACCAAGGCGCUUGAGAGAACUCGGGUGAAGGAACUAGGCAAAAUGGUGCCGUAACUUCGGGAGAAGGCACGCUGAUAUGUAGGUGAAGUCCCUCGCGGAUGGAGCUGAAAUCAGUCGAAGAUACCAGCUGGCUGCAACUGUUUAUUAAAAACACAGCACUGUGCAAACACGAAAGUGGACGUAUACGGUGUGACGCCUGCCCGGUGCCGGAAGGUUAAUUGAUGGGGUUAGCCGCAAGGCGAAGCUCUUGAUCGAAGCCCCGGUAAACGGCGGCCGUAACUAUAACGGUCCUAAGGUAGCGAAAUUCCUUGUCGGGUAAGUUCCGACCUGCACGAAUGGCGUAAUGAUGGCCAGGCUGUCUCCACCCGAGACUCAGUGAAAUUGAACUCGCUGUGAAGAUGCAGUGUACCCGCGGCAAGACGGAAAGACCCCGUGAACCUUUACUAUAGCUUGACACUGAACAUUGAGCCUUGAUGUGUAGGAUAGGUGGGAGGCUUUGAAGUGUGGACGCCAGUCUGCAUGGAGCCGACCUUGAAAUACCACCCUUUAAUGUUUGAUGUUCUAACGUUGACCCGUAAUCCGGGUUGCGGACAGUGUCUGGUGGGUAGUUUGACUGGGGCGGUCUCCUCCUAAAGAGUAACGGAGGAGCACGAAGGUUGGCUAAUCCUGGUCGGACAUCAGGAGGUUAGUGCAAUGGCAUAAGCCAGCUUGACUGCGAGCGUGACGGCGCGAGCAGGUGCGAAAGCAGGUCAUAGUGAUCCGGUGGUUCUGAAUGGAAGGGCCAUCGCUCAACGGAUAAAAGGUACUCCGGGGAUAACAGGCUGAUACCGCCCAAGAGUUCAUAUCGACGGCGGUGUUUGGCACCUCGAUGUCGGCUCAUCACAUCCUGGGGCUGAAGUAGGUCCCAAGGGUAUGGCUGUUCGCCAUUUAAAGUGGUACGCGAGCUGGGUUUAGAACGUCGUGAGACAGUUCGGUCCCUAUCUGCCGUGGGCGCUGGAGAACUGAGGGGGGCUGCUCCUAGUACGAGAGGACCGGAGUGGACGCAUCACUGGUGUUCGGGUUGUCAUGCCAAUGGCACUGCCCGGUAGCUAAAUGCGGAAGAGAUAAGUGCUGAAAGCAUCUAAGCACGAAACUUGCCCCGAGAUGAGUUCUCCCUGACUCCUUGAGAGUCCUGAAGGAACGUUGAAGACGACGACGUUGAUAGGCCGGGUGUGUAAGCGCAGCGAUGCGUUGAGCUAACCGGUACUAAUGAACCGUGAGGCUUAACCUU
rnacentral:rRNA from 1 species